rnacentral:tRNA from 1 species
GGUCCUGUCGAAUAACGGUUAAUUCAGCACCCUUUCAAGGUGAAAACGAGGGUUCGACUCCCUCCAGGACUACCA